GGCCUCGUAGCUCAGUUAGCUGGAGUGUUGGCUUUACUGAAGCCUUCUCCUUGCUGCCGUGGGUUCGAAUCCUACCGAGGCCA
rnacentral:tRNA from 1 species